GAUGAACGCUGGCGGCGUGCUUAACACAUGCAAGUCGAACGAUUAAGACCCCUUCGGGGGUGUAUAGAGUGGCGAACGGGUGAGUAACACGUGGGCAACCUGCCCCUUCCUCUGGGAUAACACGGAGAAAUCCGUCCUAAUACCGGAUACUCCAUAUCUGCGGCAUUGCGGAAAUGUGAAAGCCCCGACGGGAAGGGAUGGGCCCGCGGUCCAUGAGCUAGUCGGGGGGGUAACGGCCUACCGAGGCGACGAGGGAUAGCCGGGUUGAGAGACCAACCGGCCACAUUGGGACUGAGACACGGCCCAGACUCCUACGGGAGGCAGCAGUGGGGAAUUUUGCGCAAUGGGGGAAACCCUGACGCAGCAACGCCGCGUGCGGGAUGAAGGCCUUCGGGUUGUAAACCGCUUUCAGCAGGGAAGAAUACAGACGGUACCUGCAGAAGAAGCUCCGGCUAACUACGUGCCAGCAGCCGCGGUAA
rnacentral:rRNA from 1 species